GAACGCUUGAUAUUAAUUUUAUGAAGAGCUGGCGAACUAAACGGUAGGACUGUAAUCGGGUCUUUACUGUCCGCACGCCAGCAAUUUCCAAGAGGCCUGUAA